UUUCCGUAGGUGAACCUGCGGAAGGAUCAUUAUUGUAUAACCGAGGUGCGAGGGCUGUUGAUGACCCGAGAGGUCGUGCACGCCCGAGUGCCCUGACCCACUUCCAUCUCACCCCUAUGUGCACCACCGCGUGGGUCCCUCUGCGGCUUGUUCGGAGGGGGGAUUACGUCUUCACACAAACUUUGUAUGCAGUGUAGAAUGUAUUUUUUGUUUUUGCGAUCACGCAAUCAAUACAACUUUCAACAACGGAUCUCUUGGCUCUC
rnacentral:misc_RNA from 1 species